rnacentral:rRNA from 1 species
CCUACGGGGGGCUGCAGUGGGGAAUAUUGCACAAUGGGCGCAAGCCUGAUGCAGCCAUGCCGCGUGUGUGAAGAAGGCCUUCGGGUUGUAAAGCACUUUCAGCGGGGAGGAAGGCGGUGAGGUUAAUAACCUCAUCGAUUGACGUUACCCGCAGAAGAAGCACCGGCUAACUCCGUGCCAGCAGCCGCGGUAAUACGGAGGGUGCAAGCGUUAAUCGGAAUUACUGGGCGUAAAGCGCACGCAGGCGGUCUGUCAAGUCGGAUGUGAAAUCCCCGGGCUCAACCUGGGAACUGCAUUCGAAACUGGCAGGCUAGAGUCUUGUAGAGGGGGGUAGAAGUCCAGGUGUAGCGGUGAAAUGCGUAGAGAUCUGGAGGAAUACCGGUGGCGAAGGCGGCCCCCUGGACAAAGACUGACGCUCAGGUGCGAAAGCGUGGGGAGCAAACAGGAUUAGAUACCCUUGUAGUC